ensembl:lncRNA
GGACAAGGGAGGGAGUGGGGAAAAUCCCUUCCUUGACCUACACAAAGGCCUUUUCUGCAACAGGAUUCAAGGACAAUAUUUUCCCACUGGCACAGCUCCACCAGUGGCUGGAGCAUUCACAUGGACAGAGUGAUGAGAAUCCAUCGGUUCUUUCAUCCCUUGUCUAACUUCACUCAAAAACUAAGAGAGCGCUGAUGCACCAAAAUGUAAACGUGUAUUUUAUUCAGUUUAGGCAGAACUACAUUUGACUGAUUGAUAAGAAGCCUUUCCUUGCUCAGUGGCAACAUAUCUGUCAUUCUGGAAACAGCAAAAAGACAGAAGUGACAGCCAGCACGUAGGACGAAGUUAUCAAGAGAGCUGCUGUCUUCUUUGAGCAUAAUGCCACUGAAACAUAAAAGCAAAAGAAAAACUGAUUGAAUUAAAGCAUCAGUCACAAGCACCUCUCUUUUCAGCAUCGACAUAACUGCUCCAUCUCAUCAUUUCAAAAAAUUAACAACAAAGUCCUAUUAGGAACAAAUUAAGUGGUGAACAUACUGCUCCUGACACCGCAAUGCACUAUGAGAAGUUAUAAGGCACACACUGUCAUACAAAGGCUGGCUGAGGUGCUGUCCAUCAGGAAUACCACUAUUAUCACCGCACAGAAUAUUUCUGGGGCUCAAGUCCAUUGAAACUUAACUGUGGUGGACUAGACUGAAAUCACUUUUCCACAGGAGGAAUCUACACUACAAUAAAUUUUUACUGUUAUCAUUACAAUCAUUAUAUCAGCACAUAUGCAAUGCAGAACAGAGAGAAUUGGUAGCUGAAGUGUGGAAAAUAAAGUCUCUCCAAUAUUAAAAACUGACGCUGUUUUGCAGAGGGUAGGAUGAAAGACACAGGAACAAGAUAGAAUAACUGAAAGAAAUAAGGCUCAGCCAAACUCCCACGAACACACUGCUGCUUAUGCAAAACAGACUGAAAGCUGUCUAAAGCACAGUACUACCUACCAGCCACUAUUUACAUGGCAAGUAUUUCAGAGGAAGCAGAAGUCCCCCUCUUUUUAGAAAGCCUUCUGUUCCUCUAAGAAUGAAAGGCAUCUGUCAUAUGCUUCUCAUGAUGGCAAGUUCCUCUGCUAAUUACCCACAGGAGAACAAAGGCAGCAUUUUGCUCUGAGAAGGAAGCAACAGUAAUGUCUCUCCCAUUUCUUCCUCUGUGAGGGAGCACGUUCCUUUUGGAUCUAACGAGCGUAACACCACCGUGAGUGAACCUCACUCAAAACAUUUGCAAUCCUAAGGCGUGUAACUACUUGAACAUCAAGAACUGUAACAACAUUUGCAGAGAGCUCAUAACUUCAGGACUGCAGUGAUUUAUUGGCAGCAAUGACAGUUGCCUGGGUUGCUUGCCAUAAUACAGGCCAGUUGUAUUCAUGAUAGAUUGAGGUCAUUGAGGGGGAGUGGAAUAGGUCCUGUCAUAUAUCCUUCAACAGGUUUUCAUUUGUCUGUGAGUUAGGGUUGUGGUAGCAGUGGGAAAAGGGUCUCAUCUGAAUGUUUAUUUUUCUUGCCUGAAGGGCUCUGUUCAUUAAACAUGCAUGUGUUUGAUACCUGAAAAGGAGACAUCAGCAUGAGGGAUUUGUGACUCAACUCACUGACCUGCACUGCCAGUCAAAUUUCAUAAGCAAAAUUAAGAGCAUAGGGGGAAAGAAGAAAGGAAGAGAGAAAGGAAUAGAAUGGAAGGAAAGUACUGAACAGAUCACUAAAGCCCUUUUUGUAGUCACAUGGAUAAGUCUUUGCGAUCAGCCUGCCCAAUACAGUGCAUACACAUUGUACUCAAUGUUCACAAUACACAUUGUAGCAUGAUCAUUCCACUCACUGUUCAAUCCCUGUGGUUUGUUCUGCAGUUUGAGUACAACUACAAGAGGUUCCACAGAGAAAUAGAUCUGGGUUGAACCUCCUAUAAAAUGCCAUUGAUGCUAGUGAGGCUUUGCGAGAUUGGGCGCAUCAGUCACAGGUUACUAGUAGGUGAGUUAACUCAUUUCCUCCUCUGCCUCACUCUCAAGCACAAAUAGGAGCUACCACGGCCCUCACAAACAGCUUGAAUGUAGAACUGUGUUCAGAUACCACGCCACUGGAUUUCUAAAAUGUCAUUCCCUCUAAGAGUUGACAUGACAAUAUUUAAUCGUUCAACUCAUCUUGUUCUUUUAACCCAUUUAGCCACUCCACUAUUCUAGAAAUCAAUAAAACAUUUGGGUACCUCUGGGUUUAUAUCCUCUAAAUCAGAUUGAGGGGGAAAAAAAUAUCACACAGAAGUAUGAAAAUAAAUUCAGAAGUAAUGAAAACAGUGUACAACCACCAGAUUUUCCAGCACUGGAACAUUAAAAAAAAAAAAAAAGCUGACAAAAAAAAACCAGAAGAUGCAACAUCAGUUGUGCUUUUCACUCAUUUACCUGUGUGUCUGUGAUGGACUUCUUGCAGAGAAGGCAGCUGCUGUAGUGGAGAGGAGCUGUUCACUCCCAGUGAGAGACAUGCUGUUGUUUAUGCUGAGCCAAGCCCUCAGUCAUCAUGCUAGAGUCACCAUUACUGAAAGAAUCCCUUCUGACAGAACAUACAGCCAAAGAAUAACCAUUAACAUAUCAGUUCAUAUCUACCAUUUAUCUGUGCGGCUUUGUUCCUUCUUGGGCCUCUGUCAGCAUAAUUGAUGAGCACUCAUUAAAACCGGUCCCUUUUCACACAUCCCUAAUAACAUCCUCACAGCCCAGGUGUGUUUCACUAAAUAUGAAUGGUUUGCAACUAAGAAGAUGAGAUGGUGAUUUUCUCUUACUAUCUUCUGAUGCGGGUGUGAAAUGGUGAAGCUACCCAGGAAUAGUAUUCAUGCUUUCAUGUGCUAUCUGCAUUGUAACAAGCAUUUUCCAUAAAGUGCUUCACAGAUUGUUGUUAAUUCUUUUGGAUGAGUGAUUAAUACCCCUUUGUGAGAGCUUACUGGGACACCAGAGGCCCUGAGCAGCAGGGAUCUCCUCCUGCUCACACAGAGACAAAUCUAGAAUAGCGCUGCUGCAAUCAACCAAGCUUCAGUAGUGCAAGUGGCAGUAUCACCUGCUUACACUCCAGCUCUGGGGUUUCUUUCCCUACAUAAUUAGUCAACCAGGGAAAUAUGGGAAAAAAUAAAUAAAAGAAAUAGCACUUGGGUAUACAGGAAUCCUUUUGCUAUUGAGGGAGCUAAUAAGUCCUGAUCCUGCUCUCAUUUGAAUCUUAUCGAACAAACAGAAAGGAAAAGAAUGACAUACUACCUAAACAUAUGCUUUCAAUUUUCUGAGAACUAUUAAAUGGAAAAUACUAGUCUGUCUUUAACCAUUUUCAUAUUUAUUCUGCAGUAUUUAAGGUUAGAGGUGGGUCAUGAUUCUGUGGCAAAUAUUGUGGAAAGAAAAAUUCAUUGUGCUGUGGUCUUAUGCUAAUUAAAAUCCACAGGAAAAAAAACACAACGCUAUUUAAACACAUUUUAGGUAUUUAUUUCAAAUUCAGGAUUGAUUAAGUCAUCUUACUCAGCAGUACUCUACAAAGCAAAAGAAAGACAAAUAAGGAAACCCUCAGAGCAAGUUACCUUUCUUGGUUUUCAUAUUACAUGAGAAACAUGAGUUACAAGACUUUUUCUGUAUUUAAGACUUUAUUGCUAUUAACCACAGUGGAUAUACAUGAAUUGUCACGCCAGGCAGACAGCUUCAAGUUUAUUUUCUGUUAGGCAAAGAAACUAACUACAUAUUUAUAAAUCCAUUCUUUAGAUAAAUAAGAAUUUCUGGUAAGCCAUCUAUUUUCUUAUGAAUUGUUUUUGUUUUGUUCUGUUUUCUUGAUUGAAACAAAUGAAAAUCACAUGCUAUGAUGUAAACUUACUGUAUCUUAUGCAGCUUCGGUAAUAUUUUAAUCCUUCCAAUUGAUGUACUGAUUUCCAGAAGUAAAAACCAGUUCCUGAACUACUUCAGUUGUCUACUCAUCUACUCAGAAAGUCACCCUUUCCUUGUCUCUACUUUAAAACAGACUGUGCUGGAUAAUAGAUUUCCACCUGAUGUAACUCUACGAAGUGGACUUUAAUGAAGACUGUAAAUAGCAGUGACAAAAGAGUGGAGAGAAUACGACUAUAAUUUGAGAUCUUUCCUGUUUCAUUUUAGAAAUGCAUCCACUUAAUCUGAUGAAAUUUGUGUAAUUAUACUGAAAAAUGUACGUUUGUGUAUUUUUGAGAAUUUAAUACUCAGCAACAGAUCCACACAAGUCUCAUUGCUCUUCUGUACACAAUUUUUUACUUUUAACUUGCAGCACUAAGGAAUUAUGGAACAUACUGUAUUCCAUACAUGUGCGGAUCUACUCGAUUUAAUGUUCUUAGUUAGGUUAGUCCUAAUGCAAUCAUCACGCAAUGAUAUCAGCAGUUAUACCAGUGUUCACCAUUUCCAUACUCCUGUGUUUAGAAACUCUCUUCUUGCUCUAGUUUGUCAGAACUAGUCAUCAGACCUUUCUGAGAAAAGAGCUGCACCUUGCUAAAGGGUUUGUUCAACACACCCUUCAGAUUUUCACACAGACUUAUGAAAAGCUUUUGUGGAUAAGCCAGCAGCCCAGUUUUUUAUAUCUGCCUAAUUUUUAACAGUUAAGUCUAUUAUCAAGAAAAAGGGAAUACGGAGAAUGCCCC